ACACACGGGGGCUUCACCCUCCCACGGCUGGGGAGGGGGCUCAGCCCCGGGGGGCUGGGGGACUCGGCCCAGCCAGGGGAUGGGGGGAGCCCAGUCUGGCCCAGGGGGAUGGGGUGUUCCAGUCCAGGUGGGAUAUCGGAGUCCCAGCCCAGCCCAGGUGGGAUGUUGGGAUCCCAGUCCAGGUUGGAUGUUGGGGUCCCAGCCCAGCCGGAAAGUUGGGAUCCCAGCCCAGGUGGAAAGUUGGGAUCCCAGCCCAGGUGGGAUGAUGGGAUCCCAGCCCAGCCCAGGUGGGAUGUUGGGGUCCCAGCCCAGGUUGGAUAUUGGGGUCCCAGCCCAGGUGGGAUGAUGGGGUCCCAGCCCAGGUGGGAUGAUGGGGUCCCAGCCCAGCCCAGGUGGGAUGAUGGGAUCCCAGCCCAGGUGGGAUGAUGGGGUCCCAGCCCAGGUGGGAUGUUGGGGGUCCCAGCCCAGCCCAGGUGGGAUGUUGGGGUCCCAGCCCAGCCCAGGUUGGAUAUUGGGGUCCCAGCCCAGGUGGGAUGUUGGGGUCCCAGCCCAGGUGGGAUGUUGGGGUCCCAGCCCAGGCCAGGUUGAAUGUUGGGGUCCCAGCCCAGGUGGGAUGUUGGGGGUCCCAGCCCAGGUUGAAUGUUGGGGUCUCAGCCCAGGUUGGAUGUUGGGGGUCCCGUCACUCCCCUGUCUCACCUGGCGUCUGCAGGCCUUUCUCGGCGCGGCUGCGGGACCUCAGGGAGCAGGUGGGGGCGGAGGGCAGGGUGGCCCUG